GAUUACGGCCAUACCACCCUGAGAACGCCCGAUCUCGUCUGAUCUCGGAAGCUAAGCAGGGUCGGGCCUGGUUAGUACUUGGAUGGGAGACCGCCUGGGAAUACCAGGUGCUGUAAGCU
rnacentral:rRNA from 1 species